rnacentral:rRNA from 1 species
UACGGGGGGAGCAAGCGUUGUUCGGAUUUACUGGGCGUAAAGCGCACGUAGGCGGCUUUGCAAGUUAGAGGUGAAAGCCCGGGGCUCAACUCCGGAAUUGCAGCUGAAACAGCUUGUCUUGAAUACAUGAGAGGGUGGGGGAAUACCUGGUGGAGAAGUGAAAUUCGUAGAGAUCAGGUGGAACACCGGAGGCGAAGGCGCCUGCCUGGCAGUGUAUUGACGCUGAGGUGCGAAAGUGCGGGGAGCAAACAGG